GACGAACGCUGGCGGCGUGCUUAACACAUGCAAGUCGAACGGAAAGGCCCUGCUUUUGUGGGGUGCUCGAGUGGCGAACGGGUGAGUAACACGUGAGUAACCUGCCCUUGACUUUGUGAUAACUUCAGGAAACUGGGGCUAAUACCGGAUAGGAUCUCCUGCUGCAUGGUGGGGGUUGGAAAUUUUCGGCGGUUGGGGAUGGACUCGCGGCUUAUCAGCUUGUUGGUGGGGUAGUGGCUUACCAAGGCUUUGACGGGUAGCCGGCCUGAGAGGGUGACCGGCCACAUUGGGACUGAGAUACGGCCCAGACUCCUACGGGAGGCAGCAGUGGGGAAUAUUGAACAAUGGGCGGAAGCCUGAUGCAGAAACGCCGCGUGCGGGAUGACGGCCUUCGGGUUGUAAACCGCUUUCGACUGUGACGAAGAGUGAGUGACGGUAAUGGGUAAAGAAGCACCGGCUAACUACGUG
rnacentral:rRNA from 1 species